UCCUCCUGGCCACUUUGCUCCGAAUAUGUUCAAAAUGACUGUAAGCUCCAUGCUGACAGGAAUCGUGCCUGUGUGAUCACCAAAGAACCCUGGUCUGGCACAGAUAAUCUGCCUUUCGGUCGGAAGAUAUACCAUGUAAUUAGGUUUAUGAAGAUCGCUUGGGCAGAGCAGCCCUCGAACUCCCUCCCUUCCUCCAAGCAUCUAUCUAUCCAUCGGUGCACUGAUUGAAAGGAGAUUUGGUGCCAGUCCUACACUCUAUCCACACUCCAAAGCUGACCUAGCUGCCUUUGAUGGGCAUCUGACAUUAUCUCCAAGACGCCUUGG